rnacentral:lncRNA from 1 species
GUCGGUAAAUGGAUGCCAGUCUGUUUUUUCCAACAGUUGCCCCCCACUUCUGAGUCCAAAUGGUGAGUUAUCAUGUGUGUAGCUAUGUGAUCGAUCACUUUGGAUGAAAGGAGUGGUUAUCCGUCAUGUCGAGUCUCAAUUUUAUUGCCAUAUUCUCCGAAAUACGGACGAUCAUCCCCUUUGUUAUUCUUGAACUGUCGUAUCGACAGAGAGAUCCGGUGUCAGGCGUCA